rnacentral:rRNA from 1 species
AUUGAACGCUGGCGGCAUGCCUUACACAUGCAAGUCGAACGGCAGCGCGGGCUUCGGUCUGGCGGCGAGUGGUGAACGGGUGAGUAAUACAUCGGAACGUACCCUGUUGUGGGGGAUAACUAGUCGGAAGAUUAGCUAAUACCGCAUACGACCUGAGGGUGAAAGUGGGGGACCGCAAGGCCUCACGCAGCAGGAGCGGCCGAUGUCUGAUUAGCUAGUUGGUGGGGUAAAGGCCCACCAAGGCGACGAUCAGUAGCUGGUCUGAGAGGACGAUCAGCCACACUGGGACUGGAUCACGGCCCAGACUCCUACGGGAGGCAGCAGUGGGGAAUUUUGGACAAGGGGGGCAACCCUGAUCCAGCAAUGCCGCGUGUGUGAAGAAGGCCUUCGGGUUGUAAAGCACUUUUGUCCGGAAAGAAAUCGCGCUGGUUAAUACCUGGCGUGGAUGACGGUACCGGAAGAAUAAGCACCGGCUAACUACGUGCCAGCCGCCGCCGUAA